GAAGCUUCCCACUUUCUCUAAAAAGAUUUCUCCUUAAACUCAAGUGGAACCAUGUCAUAUAUGAUUUGGCUUUCCUAUUUGGCUUUCCUUGCUCUGCAAGUAAAUCAAAUCCACCUCCAUUUCAUAUUUCAAAUCUGCACUAUAAAUAGGGAAGCAUCGAACCCUAAUGUUUCAUCAAGUAUCUCAAGCUUCCUCUCAUUUCUAGUUUUCUCUCAGGCGAAAGAAGGGUGAGAAAUGGUGGUCUCAGUCAUACUAGAUUGCGUUGUUCCAUCAUCUUCCUCAUCCCGGGUCGUCGACUAUGCUGGCGGCUGGCCUUCCAUGGAGAAACCUAAAAGCAAGUCAUCAAAAUCUUCAAGUGCUCCAAUCCUGGUCUUUCACUUCCCUGUUAACUCCUACCGCUCUCGCCUGUAGUGGUUGAGUUAAUUGCUUGAGGAGUGAGAUGGAGUUUUGUUUUCAUUUACAGUUUGAUGAGUGAUUUGCAAUAACUUCAUACAAGAAUAUUGUAUGCAAUGAAAGAGCUAUUUUUGAUUGAUUUGUUUUUUCUUAAGAUUUCUCCUAUAUCUUGUUCUCAGAUCCCUUUACCUUGUUUACCUCCUUUCCUGAAGUUCAGAUUUUCUUCAUCCAACACACUGAUAAGUGGCUCUGAGCCUGCCUAAUGACCUCGAAGAUCAAUGGGUUCUUCAUUUACUUUUCUUUUCGUCUAUGAGCAAUGAACUAGAGAUCAGUGAAUGAAAGAAAAAAAGGAAAUGUCAUAGAAAGUAUGCAACAUUGCAGAAGAAAAGAAGAUGAAGCUGUAAAUAUAUACGUAUAUUGACCAGUUGAUGACAAUUUGAUCCAUUGAUGAUUUAAUUUAAACCUUACCAGAGCGAUCAAUUGAACUGCUAUUAACUAUUUGAUUGAGAAAAACCAAGGGCAUGUUUCCCAAUGUGGAUCCUAUCAGUUAGGUUAGUUGGUCAUUGCGUGGUAAUAAAUAUCAGUAACGAAAUGUGAGACAUUACAGAGAAUUGCUAAAGAUUAGUGAAAAAUCUUUAAUUCUUGGUGACUAAGAAAAACUUAGAUUAAUGUUGCUAGAAGUAUUGGAGGUCAUAGAAGUAAGUCAAAGUUCUCAAGGAACUCAUGAGGAUGACUUCCUCCGAGUAGGGUCAAAGCAGCCACAAGGGUAGGAAGCAGGAGGCCAGGAACCAUCCAAGCAAUACUAUAAAUUGGGAACAUGGGCAUAUAUCAUUUGGCUUUUCUUGCUAUAUAUACAAGAAAAUUAACCACCCCAAUCCCACUAUAAACACAGAAUCAUCUUCACUCAAAUUUCAUCACCAACCUUCUGGAUCAUAAUUUUCUCGGACAAGGAAGAGCAGAAACCAAGUCAAUUACAAUGGUGUUUUCAGCCAUCUUGAGUUGUUUUUGGCUUAGUGAAGAGGUGAAAUCUAACAGCAAAUCAUCAAAACCUUCACAAGCUCCAAUACUGGUUUCUUACUUCCCUGUCAGCCUUCCUCUCUCGCUUGUAGUACUUUAAUUACGAAGGAGAGAUCACCUGCUGAAUCAUAAAGGCAGAAAUGGUUUAUUCAUCUGUUAUAUUGAUCAACUCAUGGGGUUUUUUAAUGUAUAAAUUCAUUAAUUCACGAUUGAUUUGUAAAUUAAUUUGAUUGAAGCACACAUAUUAUAUAAGAUUAUUGUUUCUUGAUGAUAAUUAAGCUAAUCAUCAUAUAUACCUUUCCUAAUUAUAGAAAAACCAGGGCUUGUUUGGAAACGGUUGUGAAAAAUAAUUUUUGAGAACAAGUUUUACAAAUUGUUUUAUAAUAUUUUGUAGAAAAAAAAGUUUAUUUAAAAACUUGAAAUGUUUUUAAUAUUUUCAAAAUAAUUUUUAUAAUUAUUUUUUAAAAUAACUCUAAAAAAUAUAAGUGAAAACAAUUAAAAACUGUUUUAUAAAAACACCAUAUUUUCUAAUUUGUCAAACAUAUUUUCUAGUUUUUUGUUUCUGAAAAACAGAAAAUUAUUCUCCAAAAGAAUUGCUAAACAAACUCUAGACUACUUCAAUCCUCAUUUGUAAUUAUCUUGAUUAAUAAUAUUGUUGUGUUCCUUCGGCUAUUACCAAUUGGCAACACUUGACCCAACAUUUGAUAUUAGAGUUCUAAUUAAUAUAUAAUUAAAAUUUUCUAAUUAUGUGUAAUUUAAUGAUGGGAUAUUAUUGAACAGCAUCAUAAAAAAAAUUUAAUAUUAACUAGAUUUAUCACUUAAAAUAUUGAUAACAUUAUUUUUUUUUUAUAUAUAUUUCAUCUAUGUCAUUUACCUUGAUGCCGUGAUGAAUACUUCUACUAUUACUUAAGUUGAUAAAGUCAAAAAAUAUUGUUAUGUACUGAGAGUGACUUUCUUCCUCCAUGGUCAAAGCUGGCACAUGCCAUAGGAAGUGGAAGCUCACGAGCAACAUGGGUACUUAUCAUUUGACUAAGAUAAAAUUAAUUAGGAUAAAUAUUAAUAAAAUUAAAAAAAACAGGUAAAUAUUUUAAUUUGAUAAUUAAAAAAUAAAUUAAUUUUAUCGAAUAAUAAAAAUCAAAUAAUAAGUUUUAAGUUUACAAUUUAAGAAUAAUUUAAUUUAAAAUUAAUUAAGUUAUUAAAUAUAAGUAUUAAAUUUUACCAAAAUGUCAUUUUCACCUCGUCUUGAUGAAGCCAUUAAGUAUUUAACAUUAGUCAUUGAAUUCUUUUUGGAUCAUUUUGAAACCCAAUGAUGUUGGAGAAAUGUUGAUGAUUUAUUGUUUGGUAUGUUUUAAGGUUAAAUAUUUAGGGUUCAAGGUUUAAAAUUACUAUUUAGGGUUUCAUUAUCUUUUAAUUCAACAACACUUGUAUUAUCAAAUAUUUGAAUACUUAAAGCUUCUAUUAUUCAUCAGUCUUUGAAAAUGAUGUGUAUUUAUUGUAGAGGCCACAACAAAAGCAGUAAUACUGAAUACUUCCUACUAUCCUGACCAGUUCUUAAAGUCCAAAUGAAAUGAAAAUCUUGUGACACUGAAAGUGACUUUCUUCCGAAAUAGUCAGAGCAGCCACAACUGAUGGAAAUUCAAAGGAUCCAACUCACAAUUUUCACAAGAAACAUGGUCAGUUGGACUUCAAUUGCUUUAUAUUCAAGAUAUUAAGUGAUUUUAGCACCGAGUAAAUAUCGGAUUGCCCUCAAGUAGGAUGUCUUAUUUUUCCAAAAUAUAAAUAAAUCCCCUUAAUUAGGAAGAAAGCUUGAGAAUCACAUCUAAUGAUAAGCAUUAUCCUAACAUAUUUAUUUAGUCUUCUCAAGGAGACUUAGUUAAUAUAUAUGUUUUUCUUCAUUGGUUUGGUCCCACCCUCUAUUUGUUUGUUCCCUAGAGCUGGUUAGACUAGUCAAAAUUUGAAAGGUGGUGUAAUUUGACACGACUUUUCUUCAAAGACAUGGACACCACAGCACCAAAGUUUAGUUGUUGGGUCUUUUUCUAUAGUCGGAUUAAGCCACUUGCUGCCACGAGUCUCACAGGAAGGUCCAGGGAAUUGACCCAUCUCAUAUAUUUAUCAUUUAUCUUUCCUUGCUAUGCAAGUAAAUCAACCCUACUUCCAUUUCAAAUCUGCUGUAUAAAUAAAGAAGCAUCUUAGCCUAAUAUUUCAUCAAAUAUCAGACACUUUCUCUCAUUUCUAGUUUUCUCUGCAGGCAAAUUAAGAAGGUUAAAAAUGGUGUUCUCGGCCAUACUAAGUUGCUUUGUUCCAUCUUCUUCCUCGACCCGAGUCUUCAAUGAUGCUGGUGGGUCUAGUUUGAAGGAACCUAAGAGCAAGUCAUCGAAAUCUUCAUCAAGAGCUCCGAUCCCGGUCUCUUACUUCCCUGUUAACUCCUACCUCUCUCGCUUGUAGUGAUUAAUUUGAUCGCAAGUUGGAGUUAGACUUUGAAGAGUACCAAUGGAUUAUUGAUUCAGUUUAUGUAUUAUAUGAUGGGGUUCCUCAUCAUGCAGUUGCUUGAGGAGUGAUGAUGGAGUUUGUUUUAAUGUACAGUUUGAUGAUUAAUUUGCAAUAAUUAGAUUCAAGAAUAUUGUUAAUUUCCUCCAACUGCAUGCAAUGAAACAACUCUUUUUAAUAUAAAGUUGGGUAUGAUGAUACCAUGAAAUUACCUGCAACCAAAUAAGACAUUAACCCCAACUGAACUUCCUUGUUGUUUCUCAAUUUGAUCAGUAAAGGAGGAAGUCUUAAAAAAGCCAAUGGAAAAUGACCCCACCAUUUUAGAGAAACACUAGGUGAAAUUUGAUCCACAGAAUCUUCUAUACAUAUUUUAAAGUUGUGAGUGUCUCUUAAACCUAUAAUGGACAAUAUCUAUGUGAGAGAUGACAAGUUAUUAUAAAUAAUAUUAGAGUUAAUUCUUUAUCCGUGAAAGUUUGUUUGACCUUGUAAAUGGUUUUUAUCUUUUUGUUAUCAUAAUUCUAUGCAUUACAAUGAGGACGUUGCGUCUUUCUGAAGGCCACGCUAUAUAUGUAUUGAUUUUUCUUCAUUUUAUAAGCAUUCUGAAGGCCACGCUAUAUAUGUAUUGAUUUUUCUUCAUUUUAUAAGCAUUUUUUAAAGUCAUGAGUGUUUAUGAGGCACAAAACGGAUCACUACAAAUAUUUAUAUAGAUUUGCAUUUAAAUCCAAUAAAAUAUUAAAGAAAAGACUAAAACGGAACUUCGGUAUUGUAACUACUUAUGACCUAGUAGUAAACCUGAUUUUAAUAUAUCAUAUUAGAUUAUUUAUUUUUUAAAUACAUAAAUUGUUAGGUAAUAGAUCAACGAUAUAUACUAGACCGUUAACAUUAUCUAUAUAUUUAUCUUUGAAUUGAGCAGCAACAGCGAUUGACAUGCUUGUUGGUGGGACCUAAUUCAACAAUGAAUUGUAUUAUCACAUAUUUUAAUACUUAAAGUUUCUAUAAUUAAUUAGUCUUUGAAAAUGAUACAUAUUUAUUGUAGAGGCUACAACAAAAGCCUCUACAAUUAUUUUUAAGAGAAAUUAUUUAAGGGAUUUUUUGUAAUAAGAACAUGAAAUAAUAAUUUAUUUUUUUUCAUAUGUUAUAUUCUAACAAAAAAAAGUCCUUUAUUUUUUCAAAAAAGCGUCUAUUUCAUAAAUUAAUAUUAGUGAUUUUCUAGAUUUUUAAAAAUUUACUAAGCACAAUAUUAAAAACUUUUGUAUUCUAGGGAAGUCAUGAGACUUGGUCAAGAUAUGGAAUAUGGGAUGACGUUAAGCCUGAGAAAGAAAAUAUAAUUUCCCGGAAUAAGUAAAAGUAGGAUGUCUAAGGAAGAAAGCAUGAGAAUCACAUUGGAUGAUUAGUUUUAUCCUAUCAUAUUUAUUUAAUCUUAUUCCAAAGGAGACUUUAACUAAUAUGUUUUAAUUUUCUUCAUUGUUUUGGUCCCACCCUCUAUUUGUUUGUUACCUAGACCUUCCCAUUUUUGCUAGAAGGUUUUCUUCUUCUGGGUCAGACUAAUCAAAAUUUCAAAAGUUUAGUUGUUGGGUCUUUUUCUAUAGUCAGAUCAAGGUAGCAGCAGCUGCCACGAUUGUCACAGGAAGCUCAAGGGAAUCAACCAUCUCAUAUAUUUAUCGUUUAGCUUUCCUUGAUAUGCAAGUAAACCAACCCUACUACCAUUUCAGAUCUGCAUUAUAAAUAGAGAAGCAUAUGUUAGCCUAAUAUUUCAUCAAAUAUCACACACUUCCUCUCUUUUCUAGUUUUCUCUGCAGGCAAAUCAAGAAGGGUUAAAAAUGGUGUUCUCAGCCAUACUAAGUUGCUUUGUUCCAUCAUCUUCCUCGUCCCGAGUCUACAAUGAUGCUGGUGGGUCUAGUGUGAAGGGCCCUAAGAGCAAGUCAUCGAAAUCUUCAUCAAGAGCUCCGAUUCCGGUCUCUUACUUCCCCGUUAACUCCUACAUCUCUCGCAUGUAGUGAUUAAUUAAUUUCACUGCAAGGUGGAGUUAGAAUUUGAAGAGUAUGAAUGGAUCAUUGAUUCAGUCUAGGUAUCAUAUGAUGGGGUUCUUCAUCAUGCAGUCGCUCAAGGAGUGAUGACGGAGUUGGUUUUCAUGUACAGUUUGAUGAUUGAUUUGCAAUAAGUUGAUCGAAGAAUACUGUAUUAGAUCUUCAUCUUGUUAAUUUCCUCCAACUGCAUGCAAUAAACAGUUCUUUUUAAUAGAAAGUUGGGUACGAUGAUACCAUGAAAUUACCUGCAACCAAAUAAGACAUCAGCCCCUACUAUGAAAAUUGAGAAACAACAAAAGAGUUCACUUGGGGUUUCCAUUGGAAAGAAUCGGUACUUGAAAUAUUGGCAAUCAGUGAUUACCAUAUGUAUAACUGCUAAGUAAACCCUAGAAUCAGUUAGGGUUUAUCAUCAUCGAAGACAAAGGUUGUUCGAAUCAUAUAUUAAGCAAAAACUACUUACAUUAUACAGAUGAUGAUCAGUAAGGGAAGAAGUCUUAAAAAAGCCAAAGGAAACUGAACCUACGAUUUUGGAGAAAUUAGGGUGUAAUUUGAUCCACAAGGUGAUGACUGAUGACUAGAUAUGCAUGGUGGGAUUUGCCCCAGCGGUCCAUGAUGAUAGAAGGCUAUUAUCCUUUUACACAAGCACUAAAAGAAAAAGGAUAAAUUAAGUCGCCUUGCUUUGUCCUUUCAUCCGCCCAAAAUUCUUGCAAUAUGCACCUCAAAUCAAACCUAAGAGUAUCAAUCACUCUCUUUCUCUCCAUCCAUUAAAAAGUAUUAAUUUCAAACUUGUGAUAUCUCACAUGUUGGAAGUAGAUUUGUAUAGGUUUUUUAAUUUUGUAGAUGUACUUUAAAGUUGUGAGUGUCUAUUAGACUCACAAGGAAUAAUAUCUAAAUGAGAAAUAGCAAGUCAUUACAAAUGAUAUUAAAGUUGAUCAUCGAUCUUAAUAUGAGAGUUUAUUUGACCCUGCAAGAGAUCUUUUUAUUUCUAUGAUCUUAUGAGAUACAACGAGAACGUUAUGCACUUAUAUGAGGGUGUAUUAUAUAUGUAAUGAUUCUUCUUCAUCUUAUAAAUAACUUUUAAAGUUGUGAGUGCGUAUGAGACCCAAAACGGAUCAGUACAAAUAUUUAUAUAAACUUAUAUUUAAAUCCAUUAAAAUAUUAUUUGUUAUAUUAAAAUAAAUUGUUGUUUUUUAAAUGAAUUGGAAAUAUUUUGAAGUGUUUGUUCAUAAAGAAUUUUGAUAAAUAAUUGAAGAUAUGAAGAUUAAUUGUAGGGGACUCGUGACACGUAUUCAACAUAUCAAAUAUAAUUACUGAAUAAACAGCCAAAAAAAUAAAUGUAAAAAAUAAAAAAAAUACCAGGGCACCAGCUGAGAGAUGUGGAAGGGUCUUUAUCGGCCAAGAAGAGGAUGAGAUUGGCCUUGUUCUUCGGCGCUUCUGAUCUGAACUUCUCCAGCACGCCGUCGAACGUCGACACAGUGGCGUCCACCAUUUUCAGCGGCGUAUUCGCUUUUUCUCAGGGGUAUUUUGGGAAAUCUAGACAAUAUCAUUGCUUGACAACAAUGGCAUUCGUCUGUGCUCCUUUUACAGGUUUUAAGCUAAAAUUUGCCCACCCACAGGUGGUGAAAUUCCUGAUAUGCCCUUCAUAUUGGAGUCACCAAAAUCUCCAUGACAUAGUAUAUCACAUUUAUGUCAAAUUUGGAGCCAAUGAUAUAUUUUGUGGUUUUAAAGUUCAUUAUAUACUUAGAAAGGCUUAGAAUACAAAUUUGAUAAGGUCAAACAAUGAUAUUUUUCUAAAAAUUUUUGUCCUACGAGGUGGGCACACAUACCUAGAAAAGCCUAAAUCCUUGACAUUAUGCAAUCUUACUUUACAAGAUGGUAGCAAAUAAUUAAUUAUUUUUCAAACACCGUAUCCCCUUAAAUAUUAUAGUUGGUUCAAUAAGUGGUAGAGUCAGGAUUUCAAUUAGGGGACUAACUCUUAAGACAUAUGUAAAUUUUGCUGAUCAUAAAAGAUGUGGGCUUUGACCCAAUAACCCAUCCUUGGCAUUUUCUAAGGGGGGGCAUAAGUUGGUUUGGGGUGGGAAGUGGAGAUGGCUGGUUUCACCCUUGGGUUCAGUCAUUGUAUUGAUUGAUCCAAUGAAGAAUAAUAUUUAGUAUUGACAUUUGCCUUCAUAAAUGAGCUUAAUAGUAUUAUCUUGGUGAGUGCAAUCCAAUAAUUAACUUGAUAUGUGUUUUUCAUAAAAUUUUAUGUAUCUUUUUAUAUUUGCCCUUUACUACCAAAUGUCAUUGUUCAUUUUGAAUUUUUUUCUUCUAUAAUGAAUAAAUACUUUUAAUUUAAUAUAAAAUUAUAAUUAAUCAUAUCAUUUUUUAGAACAUGUAGUAAUAGUAAAUAUGUGUUAACGUCUUUGAAUCCGGGACUCGCUUUCUAUGAUAAAAAGAAUAUACCAUUAACAUUAUGAAAUGAUUUUUGAAACUCCCACCAAUCAACAUUAAUUAGUUAGUCCUUUUUAGUUAGAGAGUUAAUUUUACUAAGACCCCUAGGGUGUAAAUACGUACACAUAACCAUUAUUAAUUUUAAAUUUUGUCACUAAGUGUCUUUGUAAAUUUAUUUUGUUUAUACAAUUUAUUUUUUAAAGAGAUUUUAAGGAAGUGUAAUUAAUAAUUUUUUGAAAAAUAAGUUUUAUUCUUAAAUUUUUUUUAUAUAUGAAAUACAUUUAUAGAAGUGCUAAUUGAUAGAAUUUGAAACUAAUGAUGGUUUAAUGUAUUUAUACUGAACCUUGGGAUGUGAAUGAAACUAGCCCUUAGCGAAAUAGGGUUGAGGAGUUAAACAUGCAUGGGUUGAUUGUAUUAAGGAUGAAAAGUACUAUUAAGUUCUUGGAGACCAAGCAAAACUUGGUUAAUACUCCUAGAAUCAUCAGGUGGUCGGACUAGAAGUCAAAAGUUUUGGAGGAAUUGAAAACGACUUCCUCAAACUACAGACACAAGUGUGGGAAACAGGAAGGAAUUAAUUAACCAUCUAAGCUGGGGAGAUGGGGACACAACAUUUGAAUUUCCUUGCUAUACAAGAAAAUUAGUCCAACUUCACAGUAUAACACAUCAUCAUCUUCAUUCAAAUGUCAUCACUACUCACACUUCAGCUAGCUAGCUCUUGGCUUCUCAAACACUCACUUCCCUUAACUUCUGAAUAGAAAAAUUAAGGAGAAUUAAGGGUGAUUCAACAAUGGUGCUCUCAGCCAUUCUAAGUUGUUGUCUGCCAUCAUCAUCGUCGACUCUGCCUCGGGUGUCCGAUGAUGGUGGUGGGUCAAGAUGUGACAUUAGGCAAUCUUACCUUGCAAGAUUGUGGUUAGAUUGUAGAAUAAGCUAGCUAAUUUACUAUUUAUCAAACACUUUUUUCCCUAUAAAUUGAACUUUUUAAGUUAACUUAAGCCCCAUCUAAAGUUAUUAUAGCUACUAAUUAGCAAUCACAUCUCCCUUUCUAAUGGGAUUCUUAUCAACCAUUUUCAGGUGUUUGAUGUCUUGUUUUUCAAGCAAUGAAGCAAGAAAAUCUCCAGAGAAGCCUAAGAGAAAAUCAAAGUCAUCUAGGGCUCCCAUUGUGGUCUCUUCCUUCCCUGUCAACUCAAAUCUUUCUUGCUUAUAGCAUGCUGAAAUUUGAAAUGUAGUUGGUUCAAUCAUGGUAUGGACUGAUCUAUAAUUAAUGGCAAUGAAGCCAUGGUAUUGAUAGUUGCCUUUGCAAAUGAGCUUAAUGUUCUUAUAUAUCUUGGUGAGUAUAAUUCUAACUAUUUGAUCUGUCUUUUGAAUAUGAUUUAUGGUAUUUUACCCUACUGCAUGCCUUUGCUUUGGUUACCUCCUUGUGUGAACUGCCCAAUGGUCAUAAAGAUUAAUGAGUUUAAGCCUUGUUACGUUUACCCAUGCACAAAUUUGUAAUGUCAUUCACUUUGAAUUAAUUUCUUGGUGUAGACGUAUGAAACAAAAACUCUUUAUAUGAUACAAAAUUAUAGCUCUUAUCAUUUUUAAGACACGAUGAUGGAGGACGACAUCAUUCACUGCUUGAAGACCAAGCAAAACUUGGGGAAUACUCCUAGAAUUAUCAGGCGCCACACAAGUCAAAAAGUUAUGAAGGAAUAUUGAAAAUGGCUUCCUCAAUCUAGAGUCAAAGCAGCCACUAGUGUAGGAAACAGGAAGGAAUUUACCAUCUAAACAAUAUCACAAGCUGGGAAGAUGGGCACAUACCAUCUGGCUUUCCUUGCUAUGCAAGAAAAUGAGCCCAACUUCCAUUUCAAAUUAAACUUCCACUAUAAAUAUGUAGAAUCGUCUUCAUUCAAAGCUCAUUAAUACAAACUCACACUUCAGCUCUUGGCCUCUCAAACCACUUUGUUUAAUUUCUGAAAGCAGAAGGAGAAGGGUGAUUGAUCAACAAUGGUGUUCUCAGCCAUCAUAAGUUGUUUUCUGCCAUCAUCAUCGUCAUCUCGGGUGUCUGAUGAUGCUGGUGGGUCAGGCUCAAAGGUGCCUUCCAUGGGGAAAGACAAGAUGAGCAAAUCAAAUUCUUCAGGAGCUCCAAUAGUUCUUUCUUACUUUCCAUUGAACUCCUAUCUCUCUCGCUUGUAGUUGUACUACUAAUUGCAUUCUGAGGAAAGGGGAGUUGAAUUUGCAGAAGGUAUCAAUGGUUAAUUUCUUCAGCUCAAUGAUGUUAUGUGGAUCAGUUAAUUAAUGGGGCUUCUUGAUCAGUCAGUUCAGAGACCACACACCAUGGGGCAGUUGCUUAUGGGGUGGUGAUGUUGAAGGAAGAACAGCACUCAUGUACAUAUAGUUUGAUGAUUGAUUUGUAGUUUGAUUGAAGCAUAUCAUGUAAGAUCAUGGGUCCUUUAUUUUUAUUAGUAAUAUCCUGAUGAAUAAAAUUCAAGUGUAAUCCAAUUGUUUGAUUUGUGUUUUGGUAAGAGUUCUUAUUUCAUGUUAAUCCAUAUCCAAAUUCUUGUGCUUAACUUAAUAUAUUCAACAUAUUUUCAAUUAUAUCUUCGAAUUCAAUAAAAAAGACGAAGAAGAAGAGGAAAAUCCCUCAAAUUUGAAAUAAAAUACAACUUUAUUUUCAAAAUAAAUUCUCAAAACUAUUUUUAGUCCAAAAUUUAUUCUACCUAUGCUUUAAUUUGAAUUUUUUUUUUAAUUUUUCAAAAAUAGAAAAUCAUUUUAAAAAUUAAUUAUAACUUACCAUAAAGAACUGAUCUUCAAAUUUGAUCUAAUAUCAUGAUCCCUUUUUUGGUAUGAUCUCAAGUAUCUUGUUCUUAUCAUAUAUAAAAAAAAUGUUCUUAAAUUAAUACAAAAUGAUGAUAUGUCAUGUCACUUGAGAUACUUUCGAAAUGAUAGAAUAGAUAGAUUAGAAUUAGAAACCAGGAUCAUAGAAAUAAAAAAUUUAUUAUUAUGAAAAUCAAAGUCAACUUUUACAAGAAUCUUAUCCUUUUCUUACACAAUAUAUUAUGAUAGAUCUUCAAUAUUUUCACUUUUAUUCUUGCAUUCCAAACACUUCUAGAGAAUUUGCAUUCCAAAAUCAAAGCCAACAUUAGAGAACUUGUCACCUAGAAAGUUAGGUCUUUUUUAAUUCUCACAUUGAAGAAGCAUGGACCAUGUUUUUGUAUUUUAAUUAAAAUUGUUUCCAAUAAUUUUAUAUAGAUAUUAUCAGUCAUUCUGCUAGCUGGUCAUUGCAACCUCACAGCACAUGCCCACAUACUAAUAAAUAUCAGAAACUUCUUCCUAGCUAGGUAAUGUGGGGCAUGGCAAAUAAUUGAUAAAAAAUGAGAAGUCUUCAAUUCUUGGUGACCAAGAAAAACUUAGGUUAAAGCAACCACAGGAGUAGGAAGCAGAAGGCAACCAUCUGAUCAACAGUACUAUAAGUUGAGAACAUAGGCACACGUAUCAUUUGGUUUUUCUUGCUAUACAAGAAAAUCAUCCCAAUCCCAUUAUAAAUACAGAAUUAUCUUCACUCAAAUCUCAUCAUCAACCUUCUAUUUCAUAAUUUUUCAGACAUAGGAAGAGCAAAAACGAAAGAAGAAAAAAGACACGUAAAUCAUAACGGUAUUCUUUAUUAAUCUCAUCUUACACAUACAAACAUAUAUAUAUAAAGAAAAAUAAAAUUUUAACGUAAUUGAUAAUUGAUAUGAUUCCUAUGCUCACGGAAUACAUCAACACUCAAGAAUCUACUUCAUUUGACACGUAUAAGCAUAAAUAAAAAAAAACAAAAUUUUAAUAUAAUUGAUAAUUAAUAUGAUUCCUAUGUCCAUGGAAUGUUCCGAUACUUUAAGUUUGAAAUAUUAGGCAGGUACCAUAGUGUGGGGUUAUCCUAUUGUAUUUGCAUGCACCUCAAGACCCAAUACCUUGUGGCAUGACUUAGGUUAGAUAGUACAUUAUUUGGGAUAUCCAUGGUACAACCUAAUUACUUUGAUUUGUAGGAAUCUACAUAUAAUCUCAAUUGAUUUCAAACAAUUAAUUUGAUUUAGAAAAUUGAUGAGUUUAAUUACCAGGCACAUAAACUAUUUCUUCCACAAACAUAAUUGUGUCAUACAUCUUAUGGAUAAAUUACACUAGUGACUAUAAGACCAUGAUUAAAAUUUUUAUCCAAACAAUUAUAAAAAUUAUGGUUGAUAUUUAAACAAUUUUUUUUAUUAAUAAAAAAACUAUCCUAAAUGAGAUUUAAAGAAGGUAACAUCACUGAUUUGAUUGCCUCCGCUAUUGCAUUGUUACCUUACUUUUGUACUCAUCUAAGUCAAUUGCCCAACCAAAAUAAUGAUUUACUAUUCUUAAUGACCACACGACAUUCAUUAGUAGAUAAUGCGUCACACCUUCUUUGAAGAUGGGCAGGCUAAGGAAUAUUCUUAAACCAUAAGUAAUUUAAUUAUAGAAUAUUCAUUUAUAGAAACUCAGUCACACCAGUUAGCUAGGCAACAAAUCAUACAUUCUCAUUUGACUAUAAAUGAAAGUUAUAAUAGCUUCUAAACAUAUAUAUAUAUAUAUAUAUAUAUAUAUAUAUAUAUAUAUAUAUAUAUAUAUAUAUAUAAACAUAGUAAAGAUAUAGUUAUAAGUGAUGUUUGUUUUUUGGUUAAAUAGAAAAAGCCAAAUAUUUUGGUUUUUUCUAUUCAGUUAAAAGUAACUAAUUGACAUCAACCAACAUCAUUAAACUAAACUUAUUGAGAAUAAGUUCACUUUAAUUAUGUUGGUUAGUACCAAUAAGAUACUUUUAGCUGAAUAGAAAAAAUCAAAAUAUUUAGCUUUUUCUAUUCAGCCAAAAAAUAAAUACCAUUAUAGUGUUUUAAAUUCUUUAGUAGAUAACGAGGUAGGAUUAAAAAUAAUUAUUUUUCCCAUUCAAUUGAUUUGUGUUUGACAACUUUUUCUAAAUAUUUUUUUAUAUUAAAAAUAAGUGUAAUUUUGGUUUUUGUUUUUAUAAAAUUUAAUUUAAGAAAUAUUUACUUUUGACAUCAUGUUAUUUUCAAAUGUAAAUUCGAUCUGGGGUUUGUCAGCUUUAUUCAAUAUGGUUAAAAAUUACAUCUAAUUUUUGUAUAUUUUUCAAAUUGAGACUUUUAGUUCAUAUGAUAGUGAUUUUAGAAAAUCCUUAUAUUUUUUUUAAUAUUUAAUAUUUUUUAUCUUUUAAAUGUUAAAAAACUAAAAACACUUUCUAUAAUAUUAUCAAACACACUCAUAUCCAAUAUGUUUUUUUUUUCCACAUAUUUGAUCCACACUUCCAAUAAUUAUGGUCAAAGACACUCAUCGCUGAUAUGGUUUUUUAUGUACUUAUUUCAUCCUUUGUGUAUAUUUUUCGAAGUAUUAAAAAUACUUUCUAUAAUCACCGUUAAAUACACAUAUCCUAUAUGUUUUUUUUUUUAAAUAUUUGGUCACACUUCCUAUGACCACGGUUUAAGAGCCUCGUAUCCUAUAUGUUUUUUUUUACAAAUUUGGUCCCACCCUGUCUGUAUGUUCCCCGAAGCUUCCCACUUUCUCUAAAAAGAUUUAUUCUUAAACUCAAGGGGAACCAUGUCAUAUAUGAUUUGGCUUUCCUUGCUCUGCAAGUAAAUCAAAUCCACCUCCAUUUCUUAUUUCAAAUCUGCACUAUAAAUAGGGAAGCAUCGAACCCUAAUGUUUCAUCAAGUAUCUCACACUUCCUCUCAUUUCUAGUUUUCUCUCAGGAGAAAGAAGGGUGAAAAAUGGUGGUCUCAGCCAUACUAGAUUGCGUUGUUCCAUCAUCUUCCUCAUCCCAGGUCGUCGACUAUGCUGGUGGCUGGCCUUCCAUGGAGAAACCUAAGAGCAAGUCAUCAAAAUCUUCAAGGCUCCAAUCCUGGUCUUUCACUUCCCUGUUAACUCCUACCACUCUCGCCUGUAGUGGUUGAGUUAAUUGCUUGAGGAGUGAGAUGGAGUUUUGUUUUCAUUUACAGUUUGAUGAGUGAUUUGCAAUAACUUCAUACAAGAAUAUUGUAUGCAAUGAAAGAGCUAUUUUUGAUUGAAUGUUGGGUAUGUUUGAUGCCAUGAAAUUAAUUACCAGCAACCAAACAAGACAUGGAACCC
rnacentral:lncRNA from 1 species